GGGGUUGUGGCUCAGUGGUAGAGCAUUCACCUAGCAAGUGUGAGGCCAUGGUUCGAUCCUCAGCACCA
rnacentral:tRNA from 1 species